GCUGGCGGCGUGCCUAAUACAUGCAAGUCGAACGAGUUCUCGUUGAUGAUCGGUGCUUGCACCGAGAUUCAACAUGGAACGAGUGGCGGACGGGUGAGUAACACGUGGGUAACCUGCCCUUAAGUGGGGGAUAACAUUUGGAAACAGAUGCUAAUACCGCAUAGAUCCAAGAACCGCAUGGUUCUUGGCUGAAAGAUGGCGUAAGCUAUCGCUUUUGGAUGGACCCGCGGCGUAUUAGCUAGUUGGUGAGGUAAUGGCUCACCAAGGCGAUGAUACGUAGCCGAACUGAGAGGUUGAUCGGCCACAUUGGGACUGAGACACGGCCCAAACUCCUACGGGAGGCAGCAGUAGGGAAUCUUCCACAAUGGACGCAAGUCUGAUGGAGCAACGCCGCGUGAGUGAAGAAGGCUUUCGGGUCGUAAAACUCUGUUGUUGGAGAAGAAUGGUCGGCAGAGUAACUGUUGUCGGCGUGACGGUAUCCAACCAGAAAGCCACGGCUAACUACGUGCCAGCAGCCGCGGUAAUACGUAGGUGGCAAGCGUUAUCCGGAUUUAUUGGGCGUAAAGCGAGCGCAGGCGGUUUUUUAAGUCUGAUGUGAAAGCCCUCGGCUUAACCGAGGAAGCGCAUCGGAAACUGGGAAACUUGAGUGCAGAAGAGGACAGUGGAACUCCAUGUGUAGCGGUGAAAUGCGUAGAUAUAUGGAAGAACACCAGUGGCGAAGGCGGCUGUCUGGUCUGUAACUGACGCUGAGGCUCGAAAGCAUGGGUAGCGAACAGGAUUAGAUACCCUGGUAGUCCAUGCCGUAAACGAUGAAUGCUAGGUGUUGGAGGGUUUCCGCCCUUCAGUGCCGCAGCUAACGCAUUAAGCAUUCCGCCUGGGGAGUACGACCGCAAGGUUGAAACUCAAAGGAAUUGACGGGGGCCCGCACAAGCGGUGGAGCAUGUGGUUUAAUUCGAAGCAACGCGAAGAACCUUACCAGGUCUUGACAUCUUUUGAUCACCUGAGAGAUCAGGUUUCCCCUUCGGGGGCAAAAUGACAGGUGGUGCAUGGUUGUCGUCAGCUCGUGUCGUGAGAUGUUGGGUUAAGUCCCGCAACGAGCGCAACCCUUAUGACUAGUUGCCAGCAUUUAGUUGGGCACUCUAGUAAGACUGCCGGUGACAAACCGGAGGAAGGUGGGGAUGACGUCAAAUCAUCAUGCCCCUUAUGACCUGGGCUACACACGUGCUACAAUGGAUGGUACAACGAGUUGCGAGACCGCGAGGUCAAGCUAAUCUCUUAAAGCCAUUCUCAGUUCGGACUGUAGGCUGCAACUCGCCUACACGAAGUCGGAAUCGCUAGUAAUCGCGGAUCAGCACGCCGCGGUGAAUACGUUCCCGGGCCUUGUACACACCGCCCGUCACACCAUGAGAGUUUGUAACACCCGAAGCCGGUGGCGUAACCCUUUUAGGGAGCGAGCCGUCUAAGGUGGGACAAAUGAUU
rnacentral:rRNA from 1 species